rnacentral:rRNA from 1 species
UACAGAGGGGGCAAGCGUUAUUCGGAAUUAUUGGGCGUAAAGGGCGCGUAGGCGGCUUGGCAAGUGGAUGGUGAAAUCCCUCGGCUUAACCGAGGAACUGCCAUCCAGACUGCUUUGCUUGAGGCCGGGAGAGGUGAGUGGAAUUCCCAGUGUAGCGGUGAAAUGCGUAGAUAUUGGGAGGAACACCAGUGGCGAAGGCGGCUCACUGGACCGGUUCUGACGCUGAGGCGCGAAAGCGUGGGUAGCAAACAGG